AUCCAGUUGAUGAGUCCUAAAUAGGACGAAAUCUGUGUCUUGGAU
rnacentral:hammerhead_ribozyme from 1 species